UACACGACCGUACCGCAAACCGACACUGGUGCGCGAGAUGAGUAUUCUAAGGCGCCUGAGAGAACUCAGGAGAAGGAACUCGGCAAAUUGACACCGUAACUUCGGAAGAAGGUGUGCCUUUAGUAGGUGAAGGGAUUUACUCCUGGAGCCCAAUGAGGAUGCAAAAAAUCGGUGGCUGCGACUGUUUAAUAAAAACACAGCACUCUGCAAACACGAAAGUGGACGUAUAGGGUGUGACGCCUGCCCGGUGCUGGAAGAUUAAAUGAUGGGGUGCAAGCUCUUGAUUGAAGUCCCAGUAAACGGCGGCCGUAACAAUAACGGUCCUAAGGUAGCGAAAUUCCUUGUCGGGUAAGUUCCGACCUGCACGAAUGGCGUAACGAUGGCCACACUGUCUCCUCCUGAGACUCAGCGAAGUUGAAAUGUUUGUGAUGAUGCAAUCUCCCCGCGGAAAGACGGAAAGACCCCAUGAACCUUUACUGUAGCUUUGUAUUGGACUUUGAACAGAUCUGUGUAGGAUAGGUGGGAGGCUUUGAAGUAGGGUCGCUAAAUCUUAUGGAGCCAACGUUGAAAUACCACCCUGGUGUGUUUGAGGUUCUAACCUAGGCCCGUUAUCCGGGCUGGGGACAGUGCAUGGUAGGCAGUUUGACUGGGGCGGUCUCCUCCCAAAGCGUAACGGAGGAGUUCGAAGGUACGCUAGUUACGGUCGGACAUCGUGACGAUAGUGCAAUGGCAUAAGCGUGCUUAACUGCGAGACUGACAAGUCGAGCAGAUGCGAAAGCAGGACAUAGUGAUCCGGUGGUUCUGUAUGGAAGGGCCAUCGCUCAACGGAUAAAAGGUACUCUGGGGAUAACAGGCUGAUACCGCCCAAGAGUUCAUAUCGACGGCGGUGUUUGGCACCUCGAUGUCGGCUCAUCUCAUCCUGGGGCUGUAGCCGGUCCCAAGGGUAUGGCUGUUCGCCAUUUAAAGAGGUACGUGAGCUGGGUUUAAAACGUCGUGAGACAGUUUGGUCCCUAUCUUCCGUGGGCGCUGCAGAUUUGAGGAAGCCUGCUCCUAGUACGAGAGGACCGGAGUGGACACACCUCUGGUGUAUCGGUUGUCACGCCAGUGGCAUUGCCGAGUAGCUAAGUGUGGAAGAGAUAACCGCUGAAAGCAUCUAAGCGGGAAACUCGUUUCAAGAUGAGAUCUGCCGGGGCCUUGAGCCCCCUAAAGAGUCGUUCAAGACCAGGACGUUGAUAGGUCAGGUGUGGAAGCGCAGUAAUGCGUUAAGCUAACUGAUACUAAUUGCUCGUGCGGCUUGACC
rnacentral:rRNA from 1 species